UGGGGAAUGUUGGACAAUGGGCGAAAGCCUGAUCCAGCCAUGCCGCGUGUGUGAAGAAGGUCUUCGGAUUGUAAAGCACUUUAAGUUGGGAGGAAGGGCAUUAACCUAAUACGUUAGUGUUUUGACGUUACCGACAGAAUAAGCACCGGCUAACUCUGUGCCAGCAGCCGCGGUAAUACAGAGGGUGCAAGCGUUAAUCGGAAUUACUGGGCGUAAAGCGCGCGUAGGUGGUUUGUUAAGUUGGAUGUGAAAUCCCCGGGCUCAACCUGGGAACUGCAUUCAAAACUGACUGACUAGAGUAUGGUAGAGGGUGGUGGAAUUUCCUGUGUAGCGGUGAAAUGCGUAGAUAUAGGAAGGAACACCAGUGGCGAAGGCGACCACCUGGACUAAUACUGACACUGAGGUGCGAAAGCGUGGGGAGCAAACA
rnacentral:rRNA from 1 species